ACGCCAGAACAUCCUUCCGAAACUGCAUCAGACGAAGCCUGCAUUUUACAGAGUAAGGGACUACCAAAUCAGGUUAUAAACAUCCAGAUGUACAGAUGCAGGACCAUGGAUACAGAGGGCCAACUAUGGUACUUGAGCAUCCAUGGAUUUUUGGUAUCUGAGGCAGGUCCUGGAACCAAUCCCCAGUGGAUAUCAAGAUGAAGAGGUCUGAGACAGGAAGAGGAAGUCCUACAGUGGGCGCUACACUGAAAGGCCUUCUCUGCCCACCUGGCCAUCUCAGUUUCAGGGGAAGGAGCUAUUACUUCAGAGUCAAAAGUCCAACUUCGGUCACCCCACAGAGAUGUGCAGCAUCAAUUUUGGAGAGCGAGGAGCCCACCUUACCUUUCAGCCAGUAUCUGUCACACUUGGGCAUUCGGAGA